rnacentral:piRNA from 1 species
UGCACUGCAGAUAUAAGGCCAGGGUUGCUGA